CGGCAGUAGGGAGGAGGAUACGGUGCAAGUGGAGAGUUCACUCUCUCUUCUGUGUUAACUCCUCCUUUAUUUUUCUUAUUUUUGGAACAUUGUAAUUAUGAUUUACAAUCAUAAUUUGCUAAUGAGUCAUUUAUCUUUGUAAUUAGAUUAGGUUAAUUUUUGUAUUAAUACUUGGAUUAUGGAUGGAGUUUUUGGAGCAACAAGAAGUGACGAUUUCAAGAAGCUUUGUCAUCUUCGUUUCGUAAUCGGUAUUGGUAUAAUUUCUAUCUUUUUUAUUGUUAUUAUUAUUUUGUAGUUAGUUUUUAUUUCCAAUAUUGGGUGAAUCUAUGGAAUAAUUAAUUGAUUAGGAAUAGUUUUGUAUGGUUUUAAUGGUAUGCUAUAGAAUAUUUUCUAGUAAAACAUCUAUUUAUGUUCAUAUAUCUUUAAUCAUGAGUUUAGAUAUGUGAAUGUUUAAUUAGUUGGUUAAUUUCUUGAUUACGUAAUAGAUCUUCAAAUUAACAAGCAACAAAUGGUUUUUGUGAUUGUGUUUCUUUCACACAAUCAUGAAAAUAUUUUCUCCAACAUGGUAGUGAAAGCAUUUUGACUCCUCUUGGAUUUGGUGACUUUUAAAUCUUAAUGCUAGUUAAUUUUCAUUAAUUACAUGCUUCAUGGAAAUUAUGACUUUAACUAAAAAAAUGUGUUAUGAGCUUCUCUAACCAUUGUAUUAACUAAGAAAAAUCUAGGUGAUCUUAAGCUUCUUAGAUUGCUAUAGCCAAAUUAGUAUCCAUUAAACUCAUUGCACCACAAAAUUAUGAUUAUUAGUCAAAUAAUUCAACUUGUGAUUUAUCCUGAUAUUGGAACGUUUUAUUUUAUAGGUUUUGUAUUUUUCCAUUUUUGUUAUUUUUGUGAAAUAGUUUUUAUCGCAUUUAACGUUUUGAAAACCCCCAUAUCAUUUUAUAUUUUUUUUAUUUCGUAGAAACUGAAUGCAUAGAUUUGAUUCGAACCAAUCCCUUUGGAUUCGAUCCCUAUUACCACUACUACAAUUUAAUUUUGUAUGUUGUCGUAUUAAGGUUUUUUUUAUUUGGUGGUCUCGACGCCCACCAGUAGAGGCUCUCACAAUCGUAAUCCUUUAUCACAUCUAGCCACCGACGCUGCCUCAUGUUCAGAUUCGGUUGAUCCAUGAGGUACCUCAAACUCUUUUCGUCCGUGUAAAUGGUAUAACGGACCCCAUAAAGGUAAUGUCCCCAAAUGUUGAGGGCGAAGACGACUGCCCCCAACUCCAUAUCAUGCACCUGGUAGUUCGCCUCGUGAGGCUUUAGCUGCCUCGAAGCGUAUGCAAUGACAUGUCCUCUCUGCAUCAGUACUGCGCCCAUACCCGAAAUGGACGUAUCACAGUACACUACAAAAUCCUCCACGCCCUCAGGUAGGGCUAUAAUCGGCGCCUCGAACAAUAUCUGUCUCAAUGUCUCAAAUGUUGCCUGUUGCUCAGGCCCCCAGCGAAAUACAAUAGCUUUCUUCAUCGGCCAGGUCAAGGGUACGGCUAUCUUGGAGAAAUCUUGAAUGAAUCUCUGGUAUUAGCCAGCCAAUCCCAGGAAACUAUAAAUCUCAAAUAGAGACUUUGGAACCUCCCAUCAUCACGGCCUCCACCUUGGUCGGGUCCACAAAAAUCUCGUUCUAGUUGACAAGGUGCCCAAGAAACUGCACCUCGCGCAACCAAAACUCGCACUUGGAGAAUUUGGCAAACAAGCUCUCCCUCCUCAGGGUAUCUAACACCUCCCGCAAGUGUUCAUCAUGUUGCUCCUGCGUCUUGGAGUAAACCAAGAUGUCUUCAAUGAAAACUAUCACAGACCGAUCCAACAUCAGUCUGCAUACACGGUUCAUAAGGACCAUGAAUGUGGUAGGAUGAUUGGUGAGCCCGAAAGGCAUUACAACGAACUCGUAGUGGCCAUAGCGAGUCCGAAAAGCAGUCUUUUGUAUAUCCUCGUCUCUGACCCUCAUCUGAUGGUAGCACGAUAGCAAAUCUAUGUUGGAAAACCAAGAUGCCCCCUGAAGUUGGUCGAAAAGGUUAUCAAUCCUCAGGAGUGGGUAACGGUUCUUCACCGUGACCUUGUUCAGCUCCCAGUAAUCUAUACACAUCCGAUGCGACCCAUCAUUCUUCUUUACAAACAAGAUUGGGGCUCCCCAGGGUAAACUACUUGAUCUGAUGAAUCCCUUGUCUAACAGCUCCUACAACUGUGUAGACAACACCUGCAUCUCGGGAGGUGCCAAUCGAUACGAGGCCUUGGCUAUCGGAGCCGCACCCGGGACUAGGUAGAUCCUAAACUCUAUCUGUCUCUCCGAAGGUAUUCGUGUUAAAUCCUCUGGAAAUACAUCCGGGUACUCUCGCACCACUGACACAUCACUCACGGUCGCCUUACCCUCAUCUUGGGUAUCCAUGAUAUAGGCAACAUAUCUGUCGCAAACCUGCUGAAGGUAGCACCUAGCCCUCACUGUUGAGCAUAAAGCUGGUCCGUGAUGUGGCCUCUCACCCUGAAUCACCAGCUCUCCCCCACUUGGGGUCCUAAACCGAACCAACUGUUGCGCGCAGUCAAUCACUGCUCCAUUAGGGCUCAACCAGUCCAUACCAAUGAUGACCUUGUUCCCACGUAAUGGUAUGGGAACCAAGUCCACCAAAUAGCGCUCCUCGAACAGCCUCAAAACACUUAAUAAUUAUUCUCCAAUUAAUGAUUAUUUAAGAUGAUAAAACAAAGAAAAAUAGCAAGACAAAUUGAAAAAUAUCUUUUAUAUUUUUCACAUAUUCUACAUGUAUAAUAACAGUGUUACAAAAAGUUUUGGCAAUUUUGGAAACAGUUUUCUAUUUAUUUCAAUUUUUAUUAGAAUAAAUGAACAAAAAUCAUAAAAUCAGGUUAAACAGUUUAGAAAUCUAUUUUUAUUUUUUUCCCUGCUUAAGAAUGUUUAUAACGGUAAUACUAAAAGUUUGGACAAUUUUGGAAACUGUAUUCUAUUUAUUUCAUAUUUUAUUAGAAUAAAUGCACAAAAAUUAUAAAAUUGGGUUAAACAGUUUAUAAAUCCAUUUUUACAAGUGGACCAUAGUUCAAUGCACCAUUUGCAUCAUCUCAAUGUAUUGUGAGUAUUCACGACACCCCUAUUUUCGGUUUUUAUGUUUUGGGGUGGAAAAGCAUGUCCGAAAAACUAUUAUAUGUUAGUUGUAUUUAAAUUGAUUUGUAUCAAACUUGAUUUCUAUUUUAUUGCUAUAUUUCUCUAUGUAUAUCUAUGCAACACGAAACAUGAGGCCUUAUCGUCUUAAGUCCGUUCCCUUUACACUUUACUCCAUCCAUUAACUCUUUGAGCCAAUGGUCAUUAUGGAUAGCGCUAUUAGGAAUUGAUAACUCCUCACUCACCCGAUUGCUUGAGUACAUGAUACCAUAUAAUCUAUGGAACGAUAAGCAUAGAUCUUGAUAGGGUAUCAGUCAUAGGCUUGGUUGGGAACUCAUUGUUUGCUCAUACACAUACAAACUCGUUACUUAUUAUAGCAAUAAAAUUUGUAUCUCAUUAUAACAACGAACUUUUGUUACUAAAUACUUAUUUACUUAUUUUAGCAACGAACUUGGUUGCUCCUUAUAGUAACAAACUUGUUUGCUCCUUGUAGCAACAAACUUGAUUGCUCAUUAUAGCAAUGAAACUUGUUUACUCGUUUUAGUAACAAACUUUAUUUCCCAUGAGAAUAUGAACGUUGCAUCUCAUUUGGGCAACAUACUUUAUCUCUCAUGAUGACAACGAACUUUGUUUAUACAAACUUAUUUACUCAUUUUAACAAUAUAUUUCUAUUUAUGGAAACUUUUAUCAAAACUUUGAUUUCGAUUCAUGAAACCAAUAUUAUUAUUAUUAUUAUUGUUAUUAUUAUUAUUAUUAUUAUUAUUAUUAUUAUUAUUAUUAUUAUUAUUAUUAUUAUUAUUAUGUAUGAGUACUCACCAACUAUUUUUAUAGUUGACGCUCGUUUUACAUGCGUUUUCAGGAAUCAUCGUGUAAGUGGCACUUAGGGACACAUCACUGUUAGGAGCAUUCGCAUGUGUUGUAUUUCAAUUUACAUUGUAAUUUCUUUUAAAAUUUGUUCAAACCCAUUGUAAAUUUGUAAUGAUUUUUAAUACUAUGGUUGGUGUUGUCUUUUAACUUUU
rnacentral:lncRNA from 1 species